AACGUUGACAUGUUCCUCAUCAACCAGGAAUAGUUACAAUCUAGUCGUAUUGUUCAACUGUGACACAGAACCAUCCUUCUUGUACUUUAUGUAGGCGUGAUGAACGUUGACAUGUUCCUCAUCAACCAGGAAUAGUUACAAUCUAGUCGAAUUGUUCAACUGUGACACAGAACCAUCCUUCUUGUACUUUAUGUAGGCGUGAUGAACGUUGACAUGUUCCUCAUCAACCAGGAAUAGUUACAAUCUAGUCGUAUUGUUCAACUGUGACACAGAACCAUCCUUCUUGUACUUUAUGUAGGCGUGAUGAACGUUGACAUGUUCCUCAUCAACCAGGAAUAGUUACAAUCUAGUCGUAUUGUUCAACUGUGACACAGAACCAUCCUUCUUGUACUUUAUGUAGGCGUGAUGAACGUUGACAUGUUCCUCAUCAACCAGGAAUAGUUACAAUCUAGUCGUAUUGUUCAACUGUGACACAGAACCAUUCUUUUCGUGAGUGAUUUAAUAUACACUGUCAGACCAAAUCAACAUGAAAUGUUCCUCAUGAACCAGAA